rnacentral:rRNA from 1 species
UACGUAGGUGGCGAGCGUUGUCCGGAUUUACUGGGCGUAAAGGGAGCGUAGGCGGACUUUUAAGUGAGAUGUGAAAUACCCGGGCUCAACUUGGGUGCUGCAUUUCAAACUGGAAGUCUAGAGUGCAGGAGAGGAGAAUGGAAUUCCUAGUGUAGCGGUGAAAUGCGUAGAGAUUAGGAAGAACACCAGUGGCGAGGGCGAUUCUCUGGACUGUAACUGACGCUGAGGCUCGAAAGCGUGGGGAGCAAACAGGAUUAGAUACCCCGGUAGU